rnacentral:misc_RNA from 1 species
ACUUUGUUGGACUUUCUCUCUUCUCUUUCUUUUUUUACAUGCUGAACGCUGAGGGCCGGGAUUGUAUCCUUUGUGCACUCGCGUCAGCAUGUUUCUUAGGUUCGAACUUGUAAAGCUAACCAUUUCGUUACCUUUCUUGUAAGAAUCAUGAGAUAUCAUCAGUCUUGAAGACUUAUAAGGGAUCUGGUUAGCAAGCUUUGAAYGCGCGCUGACUCUUUACCUUGUACUUGAUAUYGGCCUUAUGGUCGAUAUUCGGUAUAUGGUAUAGCCAAAGGAUCCCUAAAAAGGCAUUCAGUGACUGGAUUGCCGGAUUUAGGCCUUGAAAUGGUCUUUGGGACUAAGUAAGCUUAGCUAUGGUUACUUUUGUAGCCGUUGCGACUGCUUGCUUGUGUUUCGAAGCCUAUUGAAGGGUAACUGGUACCGAAUCCAAAGGUUUACUUGGUGAAUCGAAAGGUUUACUAAGUGAACCAUUGGUGAAGUCCGGUUUGCGAUAAUCUUGGGGGUUUCUAAGGCGGAUUUUCUAAGAGCUGGACUAUAGUCGAGUUGGUAACAAAACGCAAUAAAAUGCAAGACAGUUAUC